rnacentral:tRNA from 1 species
UGCAUAGGCCGGGAAUCGAACCCGGGGCCGCGUGGCAGGCGAGCAUUCUCGCCAUUGAACUACCGAUGC